rnacentral:misc_RNA from 1 species
AACCAUAGAAACCUGCGGAGUACCUGCGGAAGGAUCAUUACCGAGUUUACAACUCCCAAACCCCUGUGAACAUACCUAUACGUUGCCUCGGCGGAUCAGCCCGCGCCCCGUAAAAAGGGACGGCCCGCCCGAGGACCCCUAAACUCUGUUUUUAGUGGAACUUCUGAGUAAAACAAACAAAUAAAUCAAAACUUUUAGCAACGGAUCU